rnacentral:rRNA from 1 species
UAAGGAAUAUUGGUCAAUGGGCGCAAGCCUGAACCAGCCAUGCCGCGUGCAGGAAGACGGCCCUACGGGUUGUAAACUGCUUUUGUGCCAGAAUAAACCUCGGUAUGUAUACUGAGCUGAAUGUAUGGUAAGAAUAAGGAUCGGCUAACUCCGUGCCAGCAGCCGCGGUAAUACGGAGGAUCCGAGCGUUAUCCGGAUUUAUUGGGUUUAAAGGGUGCGUAGGCGGCCUUGUAAGUCAGGGGUGAAAGACGGUAGCUCAACUAUCGCAGUGCCUUUGAUACUGCAGGGCUUGAAUGUACUUGAGGUAGGCGGAAUGUGACAAGUAGCGGUGAAAUGCAUAGAUAUGUCACAGAACACCAAUUGCGAAGGCAGCUUACUAAAGUAUGAUUGACGCUGAGGCACGAAAGCGUGGGGAUCAAACAGGAUUAGAUACCCCUGUAGUCC